rnacentral:rRNA from 1 species
GGAGUCUGGGCCGUAUCUCAGUCCCAAUGUGGCCGUUCGACCUCUCAGUCCGGCUACUGAUCGUUGACUUGGUAGGCCGUUACCCCACCAACUAUCUAAUCAGACGCGAGCCCAUCUGUUAGCGGAUUACUCCUUUCCCACUAUAACCAUGUGGUUACUAUGGCAUAUGCGGUAUUAGCAAUGAUUUCUUCACUGUUAUUCCCCUCCUAACAGGCAGGUUGCUCACGCGUUACUCACCAGUCCGCCACUAAAGCCAUUGUUGUAAGUCAAUUUCCACUUUCUUCGAACAAGUUCUCUGUCCGCGUCCACAUCAUUACAACGACUUCCGUUCGACUUGCAUGUCUUAUGUGCGCCGCCAGCGUUUAUC